ACUGAAAUGGGUCAGGACAAUCAGUUGCAACCCAGAGUGCUUGCAACCAUCUUGCCACAACCUCUCAAUUAACUACUCCAAAAAAAGGGGGUGGUAUUUGCAACUGGGCUUGUCGACAAUUGCCAGCACUUGGAGAUAAAAAAUAUAUCCACCAGCUCAGUGAUUAGUGUAGCAAGAAAACGGACAGUGAAACAAGAUACUGAAAUGUACUUUAUUGCUGGGACAGAAUAUUCUUUCACACCAUGAAACUGGCUUCGGAUCAGCCCAUCAAGAUAUUGGGAGACCACCCUUGCCAGGACAAGGACAAGUCAUUCUGCUUACCCCUUACCCCUGUCCCACCCCAAAGGUGAGUAGGGGGGCCUUCUCGCAUCACCACCCCCUGAGGUCAUACAACUACGGGUGGAUGAGUCUAUACUUCAGCAGCAGUUGUCCGGAAAUGGAUUAUGCCAGCAGGAUUCUCCUUUAAGAAGCUCUGCAUGCACAUUCUUCUUCCCUCCAACACUAGAUGAUCCCAGUUCCCCUCUCACCUUAGAUGGAAACCAAGAUACAACAAAGCUCCAUCUUCACACAUGUUUCAAGCUCAACAUUUCUUCUGAGGAACACUACAGCUUCUCCUUCUGUUCUGCAGUGCUACCUUUCAGGACCCCACCUAUAUUAAACUGCAGGUUGUUGCACCUGCUGUGACUUGUUUUUCUUUUCCAAAGGUCAGAUAUCACCUGCAAAUGCUCAUGCUACAGUAAGCCAGCGUCUGAAGGCAUAUAUGCCUUCUGUGGUCUGUUCUGAUAUAAUUGGCCCAAUCUGAGUACUGUCAAACUCCCCACUGAGUUAAUUGGGCUUUGUAUCAGGCUUAUAGAUCCUAGAACUGCCUGUCAAAGAAAAGAUGGUAUUUAGUGAUUUGCAGAAUGUAUCCACAUGAUGAGGAGGAUCUAAACAUGGGGACACGUGACCCUGGACUUCUCUUCUUCAUAACCUGCCACUGAAUUAUCAUAUAACCUUAAGCAAAUCCUCUCCCCACUUUUUUGGUCUGUUUCAGUUUCUCCUCCUUGGGGGAAAAAUGCAGUUAUAAACAUUUACCAAGCUGCUGUGAAUUUAAUUAAUUUGUGUUUUCUGCAGAGCCUUGAAACUUUAAUGCAUGUUGUAACUGCCAAAUGCUAUUAUUAUUGUGCCACUAACAAUAGCAUCCAUCAGCAAAUGAUCUAAUCUAUAUAACUAAAAAUAUCAAGAGAUAAAGGCUUUUGGAAGCUUCAAACGGAGGAGCCACCAAAGCGUAUUCUGAAACGAACGAUUGCUUGGCAGCAGACUUGAAGAAUUUACCAAAGAAUCUGUACCCCUUUCCAAUCACAAAUGGCCUCACGUAGGAUAUUCAUUAGGCUUUAUUUUGAACAGACAGAAGAUCUUUUGAAAGUUCUUGUGUAAAAUAAAGCUAAGGGUGUUUUUUUUUUGCUACACAAAGAACACACAAAAGCUUUUCAUCUUACUGCCAUUCAUACUUUGAUCCCUUUGCAUGGGCAACCGGUGGUUUACCUAACCCUUUUCAUGGAUCUUACAUAUAAUUAUUUUGUUUUUUCAUUCCUCAACCUCUUAUGAAACUGCUCAGUUAAAAGGAUAUCUCUGUGUUGACAAUGGUAACAGAAGGAGAAACGAAAUAUGGUAGCAUGAUUAGUAUGCAUAGGAAUUCUCAGGUCCUUCUAGCAUAAGAGUAAGAAGCUUUCACAGUUCACUGUCUUAAGAUGUUUGUUUUUCUACAUGGCACAUAGUCUGCUGUUUUUAAGAAACCUGCAGUUCUUGAAUGUCUCCCACCCACCACUUAACCCAGUCGGGAGGGUGCAGGCUGGAAAUGGAGGGGAGAACAAGUUUCAUAGGUCUAGUGGUGAAGUCUCAGUAGAGCUAAUAUAUUACUAAAUGAGAGACUGGAGUCUUUUCCAAGUUAUCCCCUCAGAUGAGAUACAUUGAGGUAGCUUCUCAACACUUGUGAUAUGGAGAGUGGCGUAUAUUAUCUGCCUGUGCAAGUAAAAGCAGUUCAACACACAGACACACACAUGCACACACAUGUCCUGUGCUUAAAAAACAGCUCCUCACAAGGGCAUCUAGACAUUAGAUUUGCAAAUAGCCUUCCUCUGCCUGCUGUGAUUCAGUUAGUGAUCUCAGUAUAUUUUUAGCAUAUAUAUUUGAGAGUUGGUGUGGAGGGUGCCUAUGAAUAUGACAUGAAAAGCUCCCAGUUCAAAGUCUGAGUGAUUUUAAAGACAACAUAACUUCCUAUGGUAAUGCAAAGGCUAAGAACACAAUCCAUUCAAAAUUAAACUUUAAAGAGUUUAAAUCUGGGUAGAUCAUGCCUUACUAAAUCAAUUCUGUCAGAGAUUUUCAUGGGGUAAAACCAAUUUGUGUGGAAAUUAUUUUAUGUAUUUAUUCUUACAUUUCUAUCCCAUCUUGUCUCCAAGGAGCUCAAGAUGGUGUACAUGAUGAUCCAUCUCCACAUGUUCUGCUCACAACAACCCUGUGAGGUAGGCUAAGCCGAGAGCCCAAGGCCACCCAGUAAACUUCAUGGCUGAGUGGGGAUUUGAACCCUGAUCUCCCAAGUCCUACAUAGUCCAACACUAACUACUACACCACCCUGGACUCUCAUCAUGUCCACUUCAGAAUGGAUCCAUAAACACAGAUCACCACUGUGUGAGCUUUAAACUCAGUCAUGCUGUUGAUGAAAUAAUUAUGUGUGUGUAAUGGACCCUUGAGAUCUCUGUCUCUCUCUUCUAUCACAAAUUCAUGAUUGCUCGGUUGGUUGGUUAAGAAAAAGUUUAUCCUGUUCUUAAGAAUCCCAGAUUAAAACACUUAUAUUGCAAUCCUAUACAUGGGGUGUGUUGUUGUUCAGGAAUGUCGGUUUGGGUCGAAGUUUAAUUCUGCAGGACAAUUAUUUUUGCUGUUAUGGGGACUAUGUUUUUGUAUUUGGACCUUAUGAAUUGUAAUGACAUUAUUUCAAUUUAUUGUAUGUUUCUUAAUGUUUUUUAAACUUAUUAUUUGACUAUUUCAAUUUUGUU